rnacentral:rRNA from 1 species
GUCUACGGCCAUACCACCCUGAACACACCCGAUCUUGUCUGAUCUCGGAAGCUAAGCAGGGUCGGGCCUGGUUAGUACUUGGAUGGGAGAAGGAGUGGGCAGAGUGACACAGAAG